UACAGAGGGGGCAAGCGUUAUUCGGAAUUAUUGGGCGUAAAGGGCGCGUAAGCGGCCUGGCAAGUGGAAGGUGAAAUCCCUCGGCUUAACCGAGGAACUGCCCUCCAAACUGCUUGGCUUGAGUCCGGGAGAGGUGAGUGGAAUUCCCAGUGUAGCGGUGAAAUGCGUAGAUAUUGGGAGGAACACCAGUGGCGAAGGCGGCUCACUGGACCGGAACUGACGCUGAGGCGCGAAAGCGUGGGGAGCAAACGGG
rnacentral:rRNA from 1 species